GGCCAAUUUAAAGCUUGUGGAUUCUUUCUUCCCCCUCAGGGAAAGCUUAUGAGAGGAUUUUCUUUUUUUAACAGUUCAUUCCAUGAAACUGCUUCCCCCCCCUUUCCUCCCCCCCCGGCAGAUUGUUUGCCGUCAGGAAACGCUGAAGCUGAACACAAAGCUUUCAUUGCAGACUUCUAUCAAAAGACCUAAAAUUAGUUGCAUCAGGAAGGAAGGAUGUAGGUGUAUCGUUAUUGCUCUUUCCAGCCUGUAAUUGAGGUCACCCUUUGCCGACUACUGCAAGCUGAUAAGAUAACAAUGGGAGUGACUGUGGGGAGUGGCUGGUGUCACUCGGCUCACAGCGUCUCCUUUGCAGCUGGGCUCUUAGCACUGCCAAGUACACGUGAGGCUGCACCUGAUACCCGAGGGGAGCAAGCACUUUAGAAGGAAGCUGCGAAACCCACUCAUGCACGUACAUGCAUCUGUUUAGGGUUACUGUUGGGGGACACACAGCGAUGUAGGUGCUGACGUACCCACACCUGCUCCCGGAGAGAUGAUGGUUCGGCGAGGGCUGAGUGCCUGGCUCCCGCGGAUGGUCGUUCUGCUUGUGGUGCUCUGCUCUGCCGUGUCCAUCCUCUACAUGUUGGCCUGUACGCCGAAGGGCAUCGAUGAGCAGCUUGCAUUCCCCAGGGCCAACAGCCCAACAGGAAAGGAGGGGUACCAGGCCAUUCUGCAGGAGCGGGAGGAGCAGCACCACAAUUACAUCAACAGCCUCAAGAAGCAAAUCGCGCAGCUGAAGGAUGAGCUGCAGGAGCGGAGCGAGCAGCUGAAGAGCCUGCAGGACCAUUACACGGACUCGCUGGGCCCGGGGCUGGAGCGCAGCAACCCAGAGAAGACCCCCGCUGACCUGCUGGAGUUCCUGCGCUCCCAAAUAGACAGAUCUGAGGUGCACGCCGGCGCCAAGUUGCCCACGGAGUACGCAGCUGUGCCCUUCGAGAGUUUCACCCUGCAGAAGGUGUAUCAGCUGGAUACAGGGCUGACACGCCACCCCGAGGAGAAACCCGUGAGGAAGGACAAGCGGGAUGAGCUAGCGGAGGCUAUUGAGUUGGCCCUGGAAACUUUAAACAGCCAGAACAGUGAUAGCAACACAAACCAUCACAUGUACGCAGCCUCGGACUUCAUAGAAGGCAUGUACCGAACAGAAAAAGACAAAGGCACAUUGUAUGAGCUGACUUUCAAAGGAGACAGAUCACACGAAUUCAGACGAAUCGUUUUAUUCAGACCAUUUGGUCCCAUCAUGAAAGUGAAGAAUGAGAACCUCAACAUGGCCAACACACUCAUUAACAUUGUAGUCCCAUUAGCAAAGAGAGCCAGCAAGUUUCGACAAUUUAUGCAAAAUUUCAGGGAAAUGGGCAUUGAGCAGGAUGGGAGAAUUCACCUCACUGUAGUUUACUUUGGAAAAGAACAAAUGAAUGAAGUGAAAGCAAUACUUGAAAACACCUCCAAAUCAGCUAACUUCAAGAAUUUCACCUUUAUCCAGCUGAAUGAAGAAUUUUCGAGAGGGAAAGGAUUAGACAUAGGUGCUCGCAUCUGGAAAGGAAACAACGUCGUUCUCUUUUUUUGUGAUGUAGAUAUAUACUUCACUGCUGAAUUCCUGAACACCUGUAGACUGAACACACAGCCAGGGAAGAAAGUAUUUUACCCAGUUCUUUUCAGCCAGUAUAACCCAGGUAUAAUUUACGGGCACCAUGGUUCCAUCCCACCCUUAGAACAGCAGCUGACUUACCCUGUCCGAGACAUUCUGAAGUGGCUGGCCAUAUCCAUCUCAGAUAGAAUCAGGAGACACCCCAUCAGAUGAGGAAAAAAAUACAAAAUAGGGCUUGUUUACAAAGCAGACAAUUUGUAUGGCGAACAGGAAAAAGCUUUUUCCUCAUUUACGUGGGAUCAGUGAACAGACAACGGAUUCGUGAAACAUUCCAUGUGAAAUAUCCUCUGCAUUAUUAAAACGAGAGCUUGGAAAAUCCAUUGAACUGUUUGUUCCAAACAAAACCUUUCCUGAUACCACCACUGAAUUCACACUAGCUCUUAUCUUUCUGCUGCAGCCUGACCAGAGAACCCCAGGCUUGUCAACAGUUUGAAUAGGAAAGGAAACAAAAAUGUUGUUAUAAGACUAAAGUCGUAAAAGUGUUAUAAGACUAAAGACCACUGUUUGCUUUGUCAGGACUGCACAAAUAUUUAUAGCUAACAUGAUAAUUGUGCAAUGUGAUGCCUGCCUCAGAGAAGCAUCUUGAUUUAAAGAAGACACAUUGCCAAUAUCAUUUUUAUUUAGUUAAUCAUAUUUUCAUUCCAGAUUUCUUACUGGGCAAAUGGCCAGAUCAGUGCCAUUAAAACAAGAACACUGUUGGCCGCCUACCAUGCUGCUUGUGCAGCUGAGAAAGUAGCCUUCAAAAAGCUUUCAAAGAAAUUGAUUUGUGCUGUAGCGGCUAGUUCUAAUGGGAAAUUAUAGUGCUAAUGCAUACAAAUAACUUGCUGUAAAGCCACUGCUAUGUUGAUUUCCUGUUACAAUGCAGGCUUGUAACAGAUGGCUUCUUAGUGCCUAUUAAUGGGUUUGCAGUUUAUGGCUAUUAAAGGGGAAGAAGAAAUGAGAUCAGAGAUGGAUGCAGUAGUGGCAGAAAAGCAAAAGGAGCAGGACUGAAAUAAGAAAAGGCUAGUACUGAAAAUGGAUAUAUGAAAAGAACCGGAAGGGAGGUCAGUGGGCUACAAUGGGGUUUGCAAUCAGGGGUAAAUUCCUAGCUCGGCCACAGACAUAUGUAACCUUGGGCAAGGCAUUUAGACCAAGAUUUUCAAAAAUAGGUGCCUAAUGCCAGUACCCGACACCCAUAUUUAGGUGGCCAAGUAGGUGGCCUGAUUUUUCAAAAGUACUGAGCACCUGGCAGCUCCUCUGGAAGUCAUUGGGCGCUCCUGGAUGCUCAGCACUUGAGAAAAUCAGGGCACUUACUUAGCCCUCAUCUAUACUACGAGUUUAGUUUGAAUUUAGCAGCAUUAGAUGGAUUUAACCCUGCAUCUGUCCACGCAGCGAAGCCAUUUUUGUCCACUUAAAGGGCUCUUAAAAUGGAUUUCUGUACUCCUCCCCAACGAGGGGAGUAGCGCUGAAAUCAACAUCACCGGGUUGAAUUUGGGGUAGUGUGGAUGCAAUUCAACGGGAUUGGCCUCUGGGAGCUAUCUCACAGUGCUUCAUUGUGACCACUUUGAACAGCACUUUCAACUCCGACGCACUAGCCAGGUACACAGGAAAAGCACCGGGAACUUUUGAAUUUAAUUUCCUGUUUGGCCAGUGUGGCAAGCUCAUCAGCAGAGGUGACCAUGCAGUCCCAGAAUCGCAAAAGAGCUCAAGCAUGGACGAAACGGGAGGUAUUGGAUCUGAUCGCUGUAUGGGGAGACGAAUCCGUGCUAUCAGAACUCUGUUCCAAAAGACAAAAUGCCAAAAUAUUUGAAAAAAUCUCCAAGGGCAUGAAGGACAGAGGCUAUAACAAGGACCCGCGGCAGUGCCGCAUGAAAAUUAAGGAGCUCAGGCAAGCCUACCAAAGAGGCAAAUGGCCUCUCCGCGUCAGAGCCUCAGACAUGCCGCUUCUAUGAUGAGCUGCAUGCAAUUCUCACUACCCCACCCCUGUCCGUGGACACCUGCAAAGGGGGAGUCUCACGCAACAGGGAGGAGGAGGAGGAGGAUAGUGCACAACAGGCAAGUGGAGAAACCAUUCUCCCUGACAGCCAGGAACUGUUUAUCACCCUGGAGCCAAUACCUGCCCAGGGCGGGCUCCCGGACCAUGAAGCCGGAGAAGGCACCUCUGCGCAGCUGCAAAUGUUUCAAUGUUCUCCCUAUCAUCUCCGUCCCAGAGGCUAGGGCAGAUAAGAAGGCGAAAAAAACGCACUCAUGAUGAUAUGUUCUCUGAGUUCAUGCAGUCCUCCUGCACUGAAAGAGCUCAGCGGAAUGCAUGGAGGCAAACAAUGGCAGAGUCCAGGAAAGCAGAAAAUGAACGCGAGGACAGAAGGAACGAGCAAGAUGAGAGGUUGCAGGAGCAAGAGGAAAGGUGGCGGCAGCAUGAUGAGAGGAGGCAGGACCCAAUUCUGAGGCUAUUGGAGGAUCAAACUGAUAUGCUCUGCCAUCUGGUGGAGCUGCAGGAAAGGCAGCAGGAGCACAGACCGCUGCUGCAGUCCCUGUGUAACCAACCGCCCUCCUCCCCAAGUUCCAUAGCCUCCUCACCCAGAUGCCCAAGAAUGGAGUGGGCGGGGCCUCAGAGGACUGCCCAAGCAACAGAAGGCUGGCAUUCAAUAAGAUUCGAAGUGCAGUGUGGCCUUGUCCUUCCCUCCUCCCCUCAUCCACCACCCCACCCGGUGCUUCCCUCCCAGCCUACCUUGACAGUUAUCCCCGUAUUUGUGUGACGAAUUAAUAAAGAAUGCUUGAAUUUGAAACAACAAUGACUUUAUUGCCUCUGCAAGCGGUGAUCGAAGGGGGGUGGGAGGGCGGUUGGCUUACAGGGAAGUACAGUGAACCAAGUGGGUGGGUUUUCAUCAAGGAGAAACAAACAGAACUGUCACACCGUAGCCUGGCCAGUCAUGAAACUGGUUUUCAAAGCUUCUCUGAUGCGCAGCACACCCUGCUGUGCUCUUCUAAUCGCCCUGGUGUCUGGCUGCGCGUAAUCAGUGGCCAGACGAUUUGCCUCAACAUCACACCCCGCCAUAAACGUCUCCCCCUUACUCUCACAGAUAUUGUGGAGCACACAGCAAGCAGCAAUAACAAUGGGGAUAUUGGUUUUGCUGAGGUCUAACUGAGUCAGUAAACUGCGCCAGCUGCUUUUAAACAUCCAAAUGCACAUUCUACCACCAUUCUGCACUUGCUCAGCCUAUAAUUGAACAGCUCCUGACUACUGUCCAGGAUGCCUUCAUGAGCCCAUGGCAUUAAGGGGUAGGCUGGGACGCCAAGGAUAACUAUAGGCAUUUCAACAUCCCCAACAGUUACUUUCUGGUCUGGGAAGCAAGUCCCUUCCUGCAGCUUUUGAAACAGACCAGAGUUCCUGAAGAUGUGAGCGUCAUGUACCUUUCCCAGCCAUCCCACAUUGAUGUUGGUGAAACGUCCCUUGUAAUCCACCAGUGCUUGCAGCACCAUUGAAAAGUACCCCUUACGGUUUACGUACUGGCUGCCAAGGUGGUCCGGUCCCAAGAUAGGAAUAUGUAUUCUGUCUAUCGCCCCACCACAGUUAGGGAAUCCCAUUGCAGCAAUGCCAUCCACUAUGACCUACACAUUUCCCAGGGUCACUACCCUUGAUAGCAGCAGCUCAGUGAUUGCGUUGGCUACUUGGAUCACAACAACCCCCACAGUAGAUUUGCCCACUCCAAAUUGAUUCCCGACUGACUGGUAGCUGUCUGGCAUUGCAAGUUUCCAGAGGGCUAUCACAACUCGCUUGUGAACUGUGAGGGCUGCUCUCAUCUUGGUAUUCCUGUGCUUCAGGGCAGGGGAAAGCAAGUCACAAAGUUCCAUGAAACCCUUAUGCAUGCGAACGUUUUGCAGCCACUGGGAAUCAUCCCAGACCUGCAACAAUAUGCGCUCCCACCAGUCUGUGCUUGUUUCCCCCGGCCCAGAAUCAGUGUUCCAUGGCAUGAGCCUGCCCCAUUGCCACCAGGAUGGCCAAAUUGCCGGGGCCUGUGCUUUGAGAGAAGUCUGUGUCCAUGUCCUCAUCACUCUCGUCACCGCGCUGCUGUUGCCUCCUCGCCUUCUUUUGCAGGUUCUGGUUCUGCAUAUACCACAUGAUGAUACAUGAGGUGUUUACAAUGCUCAUAACUGCCGCGGUGAUCUGAGCAGGCUCCAUGCUUGCCAUGGUAUGGCGUCUGCAGGAGAGAAGAGUUGCAGCGGUGGCUGAUGAUGGAUGCCACGAGAAUAGAUAUUUAUAGAGAAUGACGAGAGGACCUGCGAGGUGGAUUCAUGAGAGCAGCAGAGCAGAGUUGCAGCAGAAGCGGUGGAUGACGACGGUUAGCACCACGCACAUUUCCCAAGGAAGAACACACAUACCCGGGAGCCCAUGACAGACAACAUGGAGAAAUUCGCUAUUGAGACAAUAGCAGCAGAGCAGAGUUGCAGCAGAAGCGGUGGAUGACGAUGGUUUGCAGUCCUACUGCACUGUCUGCUGAAAGCAAUAUGGCAUCCGCAUGGAAAAAAGGCGCGAAAUGAUUGUCUGCCGUUGCUUUCACAAAGGGAGGGGCGACUGACAACGUACCCAAAACCACCCGUUGCAAUGUUUUUGCCCCAUCAGGCAUUGGGAGCUUAACCCAGAAUUCCAAUGGGCGGCGGAGACUGGGGGAACUGUGGGAUAGCUACCCACAGUGCACUGCUCCGUAAGUCGAUGCUAGCCACUGUAGUGAGGACACACUCUGCUUAGUGUGGACAUACGCAAUCAACUAUAUAAAAUCGAUUUCUAAAAAUUGACUUCUAUAAUGACCUAAUUUCGUAGUGUAGGCAUACCCUUAGACACCAUAACUUUAGAUCCCUAUUUUUGGAGAUCUUGGUCUUCAUCUUGCUGUACCUCAGUUUGUCAUCUGUAAAAUCAGGACAAUGGCACCUCCGUUGUUUGUCUUAUCAAUGUAGAUGGUUCGCUCCUUGGGGGCUGUGUAUUACUACAUGUCGGUACAGUGCCUAGCACCAUAACACCCUGAACUUGGUUAGCUCCUCUGGUCACUGCUGUAUUUCAAAUAAUAUUUCAAUCUCACAGGCUUUCCUAAUUGUUUAUGUCAAUUUGUAGGUGGUUUUAAGUCAUUUUGUUCCACCAGCCAAAUUGCAUCUGUAAACAGUGUCACAUUAGUACUGAAUUAUUUUAGAAGACCCCUGAAGUCAUUCUGCUAGUGCAGCACUCUUGUAAACUGUAAUCAAUGCAUGAGACUGGCUCACUUCCUGAUGUCUUAAUACAUCCCCAAGACAGAUUCAGAGCCGGUGGAAACUAAGCUGUCAUUGAGAAUAACAACCUUCCUGCUUAUGAAAAUAAUCUUCAGAAGGUGACUCAUGAUGCAAUGUUUUCCUGAGUCUGCAGACAGCCUGCAGUUAAUUUUAGCAGAAACAUUCGGCUGAAGUCUGCCACUACUGAAGUCAGUUAGAGCUGGGUCAGGCCCUUCUCCACUGACAGGGUAUAAUGCAGUAUGGGAUAGAACAAAGUGGGGUGGCUGUCCCCAUUCCUAGCCACCCUGUAGGGGUGUCCCUCUUUUGCUCAGGUUACAAAUUCUACUGCUCUGAUAUAAAUGUUCCUUUUCCCCC